UGGGUAAUAUUGCACAAUGGGCGCAAGCCUGAUGCAGCCAUGCCGCGUGUAUGAAGAAGGCCUUCGGGUUGUAAAGUACUUUCAGCGGGGAGGAAGGGAGUAAAGUUAAUACCUUUGCUCAUUGACGUUACCCGCAGAAGAAGCACCGGCUAACUCCGUGCCAGCAGCCGCGGUAAUACGGAGGGUGCAAGCGUUAAUCGGAAUUACUGGGCGUAAAGCGCACGCAGGCGGUUUGUUAAGUCAGAUGUGAAAUCCCCGGGCUCAACCUGGGAACUGCAUCUGAUACAGGCAAGCUUGAGUCUCGUAGAGGGGGGUAGAAUUCCAGGUGUAGCGGUGAAAUGCGUAGAGAUCUGGAGGAAUACCGGUGGCGAAGGCGGCCCCCUGGCCGAAGACUGACGCUCAGGUGCGAAAGCGUGGGGAGCAAACAGGA
rnacentral:rRNA from 1 species